UUGAUCCUGGCUCCCUUUAACGCUGGCGGCGUGCUUAACACAUGCAAGUCGAACGCCAAAGCAUCCUUCGGGGUGCGAGUAGAGUGGCGCACGGGUGAGUAACACGUAGACAACCUGCCUUCCAGUUCUGGGAUAACCUCUUGAAAGAGGGGCUAAUACCGGAUAACACACCUCAUCGCAUGGUGAGGGGUUGAAAGGCUUGCUGCUGGAAGAGGGGUCUGCGGGACAUUAGCUUGUUGGUGGGGUAACGGCCUACCAAGGCAGCGAUGUCUAGCGGGUCUGAGAGGAUGAUCCGUCACACUGGAACUGAGACACGGUCCAGACUCCUACGGGAGGCAGCAGUGGGGAAUUUCCCGCAAUGGGCGAAAGCCUGACGCAGCAACGUCGCGUGAGUGAAGAAGGCUUUUGGGUCGUAAAGCUCUUUUCUGAGGGAAGAGUAAAGACGGUACCUCAGGAAUAAGCACCGGCUAACUCCGUGCCAGCAGCCGCGGUAAUACGGAGGGUGCAAGCGUUGUUCGGAUUUACUGGGCGUAAAGGGCGUGUAGGCGGAUAUGCAAGCUGGAGGAGAAAGCCCCGGGCUCAACCCGGGAAUUGCUUUGUAGAACUGCAUGUCUAGAGAAAGUCAGAGGCAGGUGGAAUUCCAGGUGUAGAGGUGAAAUUCGUAGAGAUCUGGAGGAACACCGGCGGCGAAGGCGGCCUGCUGGGGCUUUUCUGACGCUGAGGCGCGAAAGCGUGGGGAGCAAACAGGAUUAGAUACCCUGGUAGUCCACGCUGUAAACGAUGAGCACUCGAUGUGCGAGGUACGACCCCUCGCGUGUCACAGCUAACGCAUUAAGUGCUACG
rnacentral:rRNA from 1 species